AGUGAACGUUGGCGGCGUGGAUUAGGCAUGCAAGUCGAGCGAUCGUAGCAAUACGGGAGCGGCAAACGGGGUAGGAAUACAUCGGAACGUACCUUUUGGUUGAGAAUAGCGUUGGGAAACUGACGGUAAUACUCAAUAAAGUCGAGAGACCAAAGGUUUACUGCCGGAAGAGCGGCCGAUGCGAUAUUAGGUAGUUGGUGGGGUAAUGGCCUACCAAGCCUGAGAUGUCUAGGGGGGUGUGAGAGCAUGGCCCCCACCACUGGGACUGAGAGACUGCCCAGACACCUACGGGUGGCUGCAGUCGAGGAUCUUCGUCAAUGGGCGAAAGCCUGAACGAGCGACGCCGCGUGCGGGAUGAAGGCCCUUGGGUUGUAACCGCUGUCAGGGGGAUGAAACCGCAAGGUUGACAGAGCCCAGAGGAAGCACGGGCUAAGUUCGUGCCAGCAGCCGCGGUAAUG
rnacentral:rRNA from 1 species